GUCCAGGUGACGAGUCCCAAAUUGGGCGAAACACGCAUCCUGGAU
rnacentral:hammerhead_ribozyme from 1 species